rnacentral:snRNA from 1 species
GCAUGUGAUCAAUCAGGCUGAGACAUCUGUUACUGCAUUGAUUGCUAGAGGUGACUUGGAUGAUCAGGCUUGUGAAAUAGGUGGCCCCAUCCUACUUUGCUGCACCCGAGUACACCUGUCCCAAAGCUUACACUGCUGGAAGGGGAUGACCAUCCCUAUUAGAGGAUGGUCAUUCUCUGGCCAGGAGUAGAGAAAUA